AACAGAGAAAGAGAGAGAGAGAGAGAGAGAUAGGAGUAGGGAAGGAGAAGUUGUGAAACACAGUCAGUCUGGUGAAUCCUAUAGCACGGUAGGGUGAAGGUGGAUGGGCGAAGGGUGGGUGAAACGCAGGCCGGCGUUUGCGCCGCCGGAGGGUGGAUGUGCUACCAAAGAGGGUCGCGGAGGUGGGGAGUUAGGUGGAGAAGAGAGAGAGAGAGAGAGAGGGAGAGAGAGAGAGAGAGAGAGAGAGGGAAAGGCGUGGAAUUGGAGGAGGCAGUAGUAGUCAGUGGCUCGCCGCGCGCCACUACGAUCACCGUCGGACUUUGCGUUGAGAUUUUCCACUUGUUUCCCGUUAGACGAGUAGACAAAAAGGGAGCUAGCUAUUUAAUGGAUUGUUUUAGCAAGACUGCUAGUGUAUUUUUUUGUUUUUUGUCUAUCUUGCCUUGAUUAACACGAGUUUUCUAUCGAAAUCAUUUUCUGGUUGUUCGUGUUCGAGGGACAUGUUACGCGACGAGUGUUCAAUUUGGUUUCAUGAUGGUUGGAUGAUGUGCUGUGGAUAAUGUUGGAUAAAGUUUCAUGCCCUUGGAUGAUCCGGAGCUGUGCAGUGUGUUGUUUUGCAUAUUGGAUUCGGCUCGCGUCGUUCGACGCCCUCUCACCGUAUAUUUCGUUCGGGUUCGCUCGUUAAACGGGAAACGAGCGUGCAGGAUUCAGCACGCGAAUGCUAAUUCCCGUGGAGAAUAAUCGAAGAGCUGUGAAUUUCGUAGGAUAUUUCAAGCGAACUGUGUGUCCGUGUUUGUGAGAGAUAGAGAUAGAGAUAGACAUAGAGACAGAAACAGAGACAGAGAAAAAAAGAAAGAGAGGAAGAAAGAAAAAGAAAAAAAAAAGAAAGGAACAAAGAGAUGGUGAAAGUUCGAAGAAAUGGUGAAAAACGAGCUUCGAAAGGACGAAGAGAAGGACGAUGAAACCGGAAGGUUUUAGUGUUCGACGAUCGAACGAAUGGACUAUCGAGAAAGUGGUGCAUUUUAGACUUUAUUUAUUUAUUUAUUUAUUUAUUCAUUCGUUUACUUUCCCAUCCAAUUUACCGUGCGGUUGUAUUAGUGAAAUAGUGAUUACCAUUCUUCUCGGCGUUUCGUAUAGGAAUCAUCUCGGAUAGCCGACGAAGGCGGAUAUAAGAUUGAACGAAGAGGCUGGAAAGUGAAACUUCUUUCGAAAAAGCAGACGAGAAGGGUUAACUUUUAUUCACUGCUUACGAAAUCCCUGGUGCAUCGAAGUGGACCAAGAAAAAGAGAAAGAAAAAGGAAAAAAGAAGAAAGAAGAAGAAAAAGAAUACGAAUAAGAAGAAGGCUCGCGAUAUCGCGAAUUCGAACGAACUUUGGACACUUUUGUCCAAGGAAGAAACCGGAAAAGAACGAAGGUUAGAGUACUGCUGCUAGUAAUAGUGGUAGUGCUGAUAGGUGGUGGUAGUGAUAGUAGUGGUGAUGGUGGUGGUGGUUGGUGGUUGGUAGUGGUGGUGGUAGACGUGGAGGUGGUCGAGGUGACCCCUCUCACCACUCAUGCGUACGGACCAAGGGAUUCAGAAGUAUCCUUUUCAAUAGAAACGUUGCUGGCAUUGUUGUGGUGUACCGGAAAAUGACGACAGUGUCCGAGCCAAUGAACCGUUCCGAGUUAUCCAAGAAUUGGAUGACACGUGAAAAGUCGAAAGAUGAAAGUCGAGAGAAAAAGAAAAUUGCAAGAAAUUGAACGGUGAUAAUGUAAUUCGAUUAAUCAAACUCGAAAAAUUCAACUGAUCGUCGUCGUCG